GCUGAGGACUUUGAACACAAGCAUUGACAUGUUUUAAAUUCUCUUGCUGAACCUGUUUUUUGGGCAGAGAAGAGACAGAGAGGUGGAGACAAUAUAAAAGAAAGAGAUCAAGUUAAAUCAAGCACCAGCGGAGUCAUGUUCGUGCAUUAAAGAGGAACAGACAAAAUUUGCUGGUCAUGGAUGAUUUUGUUCUUAACAAAUUAAUGGAAUGGGGUCUCGCUGAGCUGAUUGAAAGAUUUAAAGAUGAAGGCAUUGAUGAGGAAAUUCUUUACCUUCUUGAUGAUCCAGAAAUUGAUAGCUUGAUCCCCAGAGUGGGACACAGGGCAAAAUUUAAGAAUAAACUCAAGUUGUUAAAGG